rnacentral:tRNA from 1 species
UGGCUCAGUGGUAGAGUGCUUGCCUUACAUGCAUGAGGCCCUAGGUUUGAUUCCCAG